rnacentral:rRNA from 1 species
AAUGAACGCUGGCGGCGUGCCUAACACAUGCAAGUCGAACGAGAACGCCUGGCUUGCCAGGCAAGUAAAGUGGCGCACGGGUGAGUAACGCGUGGGUAAUCUACCUUUGUCUGGGGGAUAACCUACCGAAAGGUGGGCUAAUACCGCAUAACGUGAUCGGGUUGCGACUUGAUCACCAAAGAUGGCCUCUCCAUGGAAGCUAUCGAAUAAAGAUGAGCCCGCGUCCCAUUAGCUAGUUGGUAAGGUAAAGGCUUACCAAGGCGAUGAUGGUUAGCUGGUCUGAGAGGAUGACCAGCCACACUGGCACUGAAACACGGGCCAGACUCCUACGGGAGGCUG